AGUGAACGCUGGCGGUAGGCCUAACACAUGCAAGUCGAACGGCAGCACAGUAAGAGCUUGCUCUUACGGGUGGCGAGUGGCGGACGGGUGAGGAAUACAUCGGAAUCUACUUUUUCGUGGGGGAUAACGUAGGGAAACUUACGCUAAUACCGCAUACGACCUACGGGUGAAAGCAGGGGAUCUUCGGACCUUGCGCGAUUGAAUGAGCCGAUGUCGGAUUAGCUAGUUGGCGGGGUAAAGGCCCACCAAGGCGACGAUCCGUAGCUGGUCUGAGAGGAUGAUCGGCCCAACUGGAACUGAGACACGGUCCAGACUCCUACGGGAGGCAGCAGUGGGGAAUAUUGGACAAUGGGCGCAAGCCUGAUCCAGCCAUACCGCGUGGGUGAAGAAGGCCUUCGGGUUGUAAAGCCCUUUUGUUGGGAAAGAAAAGCAGCAGGUUAAUACCCCGCUGUUCUGACGGUACCCAAAGAAUAAGCACCGGCUAACUUCGUG
rnacentral:rRNA from 1 species